rnacentral:rRNA from 2 species
AUUGGGCGUAAGCGCGCGCAGGCGGUUCCUUAAGUCUGAUGUGAAAGCCCCCGGCUCAACCGGGGAGGGUCAUUGGAAACUGGGGAACUUGAGUGCCGAAGAGAAGAGUGGAAUUCCACGUGUAGCGGUGAAAUGCGUAGAGAUGUGGAGGAACACCAGUGGCGAAGGCGACUCUUUGGUCUGUAACUGACGCUGAGGCGCGAAAGCGUGGGGAGCAAACAGGAUUAGAUACCCUGGUAGUCCACGCCGUAAACGAUGAGUGCUAAGUGUUAGAGGGUUUCCGCCCUUUAGUGCUGCAACAAACGCAUUAAUCCCUCCGCCUGGGGAGUACGGCCGCAAGGAUGAAACUCAAAGGAAUUGACGGCCGCCCGCACAAGCGGUGGAGCAUG